CGUGGUGCAGUGGUGAGACACCUCGCUGGAAUGCCCGAGGUCGCAGGGUUCAAAUCCGGGC
rnacentral:tRNA from 1 species